rnacentral:rRNA from 1 species
UACGAAGGGGGCUAGCGUUGCUCGGAAUCACUGGGCGUAAAGGGCGCGUAGGCGGACUCUUAAGUCGGGGGCGAAAGCCCAGGGCUCAACCCCGGAAUUGCCUUCGAUACUGAGAGUCUUGAGUUCGGAAGAGGUUGGUGGAACUGCGAGUGUAGAGGUGAAAUUCGUAGAUAUUCGCAAGAACACCAGUGGCGAAGGCGGCCAACUGGUCCGAUACUGACGCUGAGGCGCGAAAGCGUGGGGAGCAAACAGG